rnacentral:rRNA from 1 species
UACGGAAGGCAGCAGUGGGGAAUAUUGGACAAUGGGCGCAAGCCUGAUCCAGCCAUGCCGCGUGUGUGAAGAAGGCCUUCGGGUUGUAAAGCACUUUUGUCCGGAAAGAAAAGCUUAGGGUUAAUAACCUUGAGUCAUGACGGUACCGGAAGAAUAAGCACCGGCUAACUUCGUGCCAGCAGCCGCGGUAAUACGAAGGGUGCAAGCGUUACUCGGAAUUACUGGGCGUAAAGCGUGCGUAGGUGGUUUUGUUAAAGUCUGAUGUGAAAGCCCUGGGCUCAACCUGGGAAUGGCAUUGGAAACUGGCUUACUAGAGUGCGGUAGAGGGGUGUGGAAUUCCCGGUGUAGCAGUGAAAUGCGUAGAUAUCGGGAGGAACAUCCGUGGCGAAAGGCGACACCCUGGACCAGCACUGACACUGAGGCACGAAAGCGUGGGGAGCAAACAGGGAUUAGAUACC